rnacentral:rRNA from 1 species
CCCUUAGAUGUUCUGGGCCACACGCGCGCUACACUGACGAAUGCAACGAGCUUAUAACCUUGGCCGAAAGGUCUGGGUAAUCUCCAAAUUUCGUCGUGAUGGGGAUAGAUUAUUGCAAUUAUUAAUCUUCAACGAGGAAUGCCUAGUAAGCGCAAGUCAUCAGCUUGCGUUGAUUACGUCCCUGCCCUUUGUACACACCGCCCGUCGCUCCUACCGAUUGAAUGGUCCGGUGAAGCGUUCGGACCGUGGCCUUUGGACGGUUCGCCGUCUGUUGGCUGCGGGAAGUUCGUUAAACCUUAUCAUUUAGAGGAAGGAGAAGUCGUANCA